rnacentral:rRNA from 1 species
CCCUGGCUCAGAUUGAACGCUGGCGGCAGGCCUAACACAUGCAAGUCGAGCGGAUGACAGGAGCUUGCUCCUGAAUUCAGCGGCGGACGGGUGAGUAAUGCCUAGGAAUCUGCCUGGUAGUGGGGGACAACGUUUCGAAAGGAACGCUAAUACCGCAUACGUCCUACGGGAGAAAGCAGGGGACCUUCGGGCCUUGCGCUAUCAGAUGAGCCUAGGUCGGAUUAGCUAGUUGGUGGGGUAAUGGCUCACCAAGGCGACGAUCCGUAACUGGUCUGAGAGGAUGAUCAGUCACACUGGAACUGAGACACGGUCCAGACUCCUACGGGAGGCAGCAGUGGGGAAUAUUGGACAAUGGGCGAAAGCCUGAUCCAGCCAUGCCGCGUGUGUGAAGAAGGUCUUCGGAUUGUAAAGCACUUUAAGUUGGGAGGAAGGGCAGUAACUUAAUACGUUGCCGUCUUGACGUUACCGACAGAAUAAGCACCCGGCUAACU